UGGCUCAGGACGAACGCUGGCGGCGUGCCUAAUACAUGCAAGUAGAACGCUGAAGGAGGAGCUUGCUUCUCCGGAUGAGUUGCGAACGGGUGAGUAACGCGUAGGUAACCUGCCUGGUAGCGGGGGAUAACUAUUGGAAACGAUAGCUAAUACCGCAUAAUAGCAGUUGUUGCAUGACAGCUGUUUGAAAGGUGCAAUUGCACCACUACCAGAUGGACCUGCGUUGUAUUAGCUAGUUGGUGGGGUAACGGCUCACCAAGGCGACGAUACAUAGCCGACCUGAGAGGGUGAUCGGCCACACUGGGACUGAGACACGGCCCAGACUCCUACGGGAGGCAGCAGUAGGGAAUCUUCCGCAAUGGGCGAAAGCCUGACGGAGCAACGCCGCGUGAGUGAAGAAGGAUUUCGGUUCGUAAAGCUCUGUUGUUAGGGAAGAAUGAUUGUGUAGUAACUAUACACAGUAGAGACGGUACCUAACCAGAAAGCCACGGCUAACUACGUGCCAGCAGCCGCGGUAAUACGUAGGUGGCAAGCGUUGUCCGGAAUUAUUGGGCGUAAAGCGCGCGCAGGUGGUUUAAUAAGUCUGAUGUGAAAGCCCACGGCUCAACCGUGGAGGGUCAUUGGAAACUGUUAAACUUGAGUGCAGGAGAGAAAAGUGGAAUUCCUAGUGUAGCGGUGAAAUGCGUAGAUAUUAGGAAGAACACCGGUGGCGAAAGGCGACUUUCUGGACGAAAACUGACGCUGAGGCGCGAAAGCCAGGGGAGCGAACGGUAUUAGAUACCCC
rnacentral:rRNA from 1 species